AAGUCUGGGAAUGCAAAUUUCGGAACAAAUCAAUUUCAUUUUUCUGAAAAGCUGCAUUGUAAUUCCAUCUACAGCUAUAUCUCUGCCCAGCUAUUCUCAGAAAAUCUGGGAUUUGAUCGGCGUCAUGGGCUGGCUGCUUAUGUUGUGGUUUAAAUUGUCCAUGUUUUUUCAACUUUUGGUUGAUGAGGUGAAGGUUCCAUAUUCGGGGCUAGCAUUC
rnacentral:misc_RNA from 1 species